rnacentral:rRNA from 1 species
CCUUCGGGUGUGACUGCGUACCUUUUGUAUAAUGGGUCAGCGACUUAUAUUCUGUAGCAAGGUUAACCGUAUAGGGGAGCCGCAGGGAAACCGAGUCUUAACUGGGCGUUAAGUUGCAGGGUAUAGACCCGAAACCCGGUGAUCUAGCCAUGGGCAGGUUGAAGGUUGGGUAACACUAACUGGAGGACCGAACCGACUAAUGUUGAAAAAUUAGCGGAUGACUUGUGGCUGGGGGUGAAAGGCCAAUCAAACCGGGAGAUAGCUGGUUCUCCCCGAAAGCUAUUUAGGUAGCGCCUCGUGAACUCAUCUUCGGGGGUAGAGCACUGUUUCGGCUAGGGGGUCAUCCCGACUUACCAACCCGAUGCAAACUACGAAUACCGAAGAAUGUUAUCACGGGAGACACACGGCGGGUGCUAACGUCCGUCGUGAAGAGGGAAACAACCCAGACCGCCAGCUAAGGUCCCAAAGUCAUGGUUAAGUGGGAAACGAUGUGGGAAGGCACAGACAGCCAGGAUGUUGGCUUAGAAGCAGCCAUCAUUUAAAGAAAGCGUAAUAGCUCACUGGUCGAGUCGGCCUGCGCGGAAGAUGUAACGGGGCUAAACCAUGCACCGAAGCUGCGGCAGCGACACUAUGUGUUGUUGGGUAGGGGAGCGUUCUGUAAGCCUGCGAAGGUGUGCUGUGAGGCAUGCUGGAGGUAUCAGAAGUGCGAAUGCUGACAUAAGUAACGAUAAAGCGGGUGAAAAGCCCGCUCGCCGGAAGACCAAGGGUUCCUGUCCAACGUUAAUCGGGGCAGGGUGAGUCGACCCCUAAGGCGAGGCCGAAAGGCGUAGUCGAUGGGAAACAGGUUAAUAUUCCUGUACUUGGUGUUACUGCGAAGGGGGGACGGAGAAGGCUAUGUUAGCCGGGCGACGGUUGUCCCGGUUUAAGCAUGUAGGCUGGUUAUCCAGGCAAAUCCGGAUAAUCAAGGCUGAGGUGUGAUGACGAGGCACUACGGUGCUGAAGUAACAAAUGCCCUGCUUCCAGGAAAAGCCUCUAAGCAUCAGGUAACAUCAAAUCGUACCCCAAACCGACACAGGUGGUCAGGUAGAGAAUACCAAGGCGCUUGAGAGAACUCGGGUGAAGGAACUAGGCAAAAUGGUGCCGUAACUUCGGGAGAAGGCACGCUGGUGUGUAGGUGAAGUCCCUGCGGAUGGAGCUGAGACCAGUCGAAGAUACCAGCUGGCUGCAACUGUUUAUUAAAAACACAGCACUGUGCAAACACGAAAGUGGACGUAUACGGUGUGACGCCUGCCCGGUGCCGGAAGGUUAAUUGAUGGGGUUAUCCGUAAGGAGAAGCUCUUGAUCGAAGCCCCGGUAAACGGCGGCCGUAACUAUAACGGUCCUAAGGUAGCGAAAUUCCUUGUCGGGUAAGUUCCGACCUGCACGAAUGGCGUAAUGAUGGCCAGGCUGUCUCC